GAAGUGGGAGGAAAACAGUUAACUCUCCAGUCGCGAUGAUCAAGUCACUCGCCAAGUGGCGUACAUCAGUCGCGCCGGUCCUGACACGGUGCUCUCCUAAAGACUAAUGCUGUUGUUGCUCACGCUUAGAUACUAAUUCUGUUUACCACUGGGAUAUAUCGCCAACGACAGUUAGGGACACUGAUGCGGCGUUACCUUCGUGGGUAUCAUUGAAUGCGUCUGUUACCACGGCUUAACAAAUGAAACAUGAGCGUUCCGGGAAUAUGGUCGACGUUCAACAUAACUUAUUUACUCUGGACUGGUGUUAUCGUAGGCCUCCUCCACAUCCAGACAUGCAUAGGCUGUCCAGACGACGCCGUCACACAUGUAUACGCAUGUUUAGGAAAUCUUGUCGGCGAAGACGGAAAAAUAAAGGUCUUGGCGGGUGAUGACGCAAAAGAGUUUUUACCAAAAGUGCUUAGACGGAAGCGUUGAUAUAACUAUCCAUUGCGUCCAGAACGUUUUAACUCAGUGUCGAGGACCCCCACAGGAAAAUGCACUUGAAGAGUACACUGGACCCAGCUGCUGAUGAAGAAAGCAUUUGAUACAGCAUGCGAGAAGAAAGAGCAUUACUUGAAAACAUCCGCCUGUGUUUCGGGAUAUAAAGACAGGAUACAGACCGUGUUGCAAGUCGAUGCAAAAACAGUUUUUAGCCGCAAAGGAUGAAGCCUACACAAAAGAAAAAUAUAUGGAUCUUAUGUGCAGUUUUAUUCACGGUAUAACGCGCUGCACUGAAUCCCCAUAAGGGUUGUACUGCGACGCGGUAACAGCCAGAACUAUAGUGGACUUUAUGUCUGGGGUUACACCCGUCACGUGCAUUCCGUAUUCAAACAAGGCUCAGACAGGACGCUACCGAGUGUUUUAAGCCUGAUGUUUCUGCUCCUGCUUUCUUGGAUUAUUAACGUCUAGGAUAUCUGGCUGUGUUUUCACAUUGUUCACCUUACGUUUCGCCGAGUUGGUAUGACCAACAGUGUUCAUCUUGCCAACAAAGACAUAAAUGUGUCAUCUUCUACAACAAACAGUACUUUCUUAUGAACGUUUCAACAUAUCGUUGUUUAUCACAUAAGAUCAUUAACGAUGUUCGGCUGGAAUUCUGAUCUGUUUCUGUUGCAGUGAUGACGCUUUACACUUCAUCAUUAUGGAAAAGAAAAUAUAUACUUCCCACAGAGGAAGGCGAUCGUGGAUCAUACUGGUAUUGCAUCAAUGGCAAUGUGACAUGAAAUGAUGUGAAUUGAAGAAUUGAAUUAUUUCGCUUAUAUUUUGAAAGAAAGUGUGCCAAAAUAUGAUCUUCACGGAAAGCUGUAUAUAUACUUUUGGUGGGAUAGCUGAAAGAUACUUUGAUUUUUUAUGAGUGUGUUUCAAGCAGUUUGGUUUUCCUGUUCGGUAUGGCGAGUAAAAUCGAGCUGCACAGCCUGACUUGAUGGCGUGCGAAACGUACAUUAUUUAUUAUGCAGAGGAGCCUGCAUCUUGGUGCUCACGAACUUUUAAAUCCACAUCCUGUAAGAUUCCUAAAUAAAUUCUUACAGCAAAGCUAAAGAAACUUCUUUCACCUUUGGUAUCACUGUUUCUAUAUAUGUAUAAAUGCUAUUAGACUUAAAUGUGGUACAUGUAAACGUAGGUAUACGUCGUGUUACAGAAUAGAAUGCACAUUGAAGGAGUGCAUUUAAUCAAAACAUAAGUACAUUCAACCAAAACCAAUAUGUGGCACCGACGUAUUUCUCACCGUUUUAAUGAGAUUAUACACCAUUACUUUUUGGGGAUUUUCUGAAUUAGUUUUGUAUAAUUACUUUCGUAACGUCCUUUAACUUUUGUUUCAAGCUCAAAGAAAUUGUCAGGAUCUUUUCAACCACUCUCCUUAUAAAUUUCUUUGUAAAUAUUGCAAUGUAAUAAACUAUUAUAGAGUAGUGACAUUAAGAACUAACCGUCCACUUGGUUCGAAUUUUUGACGCUAUGCAAAUUCACUGCUCGUCUGGUCAUAUUUUGU